CGGAGAUUUCCGCGCCAUCAUGAAGAUGACAUGUGAUCGUAAUGAACAGACACCUGCUCUGUUUUGACGACUUUCUAGUCGACAAACUCGUUAACGUUAACAAGGAGCCAGAGGGUUUCGAAUCACCUAAGCCAACACCCAGUGAGAUAAUUACGAGUGCUGACGCACUGAGGUAGUUCCUCUCUACUGCAGUCAGCAGAACUGCUCUGCAGAGUAGCCAACCCCCCCAGACCCAGCCUGCAAACAGUCA